UACGUAGGGGGCAAGCGUUGUCCGGAUUCAUUGGGCGUAAAGAGCGUGUAGGCGGCCAGGUAGGUCGGUUGUGAAAACUGGAGGCUCAACCUUCAGAGGUCGACCGAAACCAUCUGGCUAGAGUCCGGGAGAGGAGAGUGGAAUUCCUGGUGUAGCGGUGAAAUGCGUAGAUAUCAGGAGGAACACCUGCGGUGUAGACGGCUUACUGGACGGUAACUGACGCUGAGGCACGAAAGCGUGGGUAGCAAACAGG
rnacentral:rRNA from 1 species